GGAUCUGGGCUCUGCUAUGUAUAUGUUUAAAAGUCUAAUUCCAUCAGUUAUUAAUUUGUCUCUCUCCCACACGUUUUUGGAAAUGUGAUGAAUGUUUCUUACAGUUCCUUCCUGAAGUUUUCUUGCUGUAGGAAAUAACUAGUUCUCUCUUGUUUGGUUAUUACAGAUUGCUAUUCUAACUUCUGUACAAUCAAAGACCCAAGACCAGCUUUGGAGAGUUUUCCUGAGUAAAUCAAAUGCAUUGCUGCCACCUCUUGCAGAGUCAUUUUCAAAUUCGAGAGCUGCAGUUACAGAAAGCAAACUCCAAGGUAUGCUAGGAGCUGGGAGGCAGAGCCAAGCCUGGAGAGAUGGAGGGGAGGAGAAGAGGGAGCAACUGAUACCAGCUGACAGACCAGACAGGCUGCAGCUGGGCUCAAGCCCUGGGUUCAUGCACUCGCC
rnacentral:lncRNA from 1 species